UGAUAGACCAAGCAAAUCAAAACACAUUAAGAUGGUAGGUAAUUUGAGUAAUACAUUUAGCAAGUCUGAAAAAAUGGGCAUGUAUAGAAUCUGCAGGCUCAACUCAAGCGCGCAGUGAGUAUUUUUUUUUUUUAAAACCCCCCCCGCCGCUGGUUUUAACGUCAGCCUCAGAAGUGAAGAACAGGGUCUUUUGUUACUGAUUUAUAUUCGCGGUGGCCCGUAGGGGGCGCCCGUGAGGGUGAGCCCCUCCAACCCGGCCCUGCCGAGCAGCAGGCGCGGUAGAAAGGCAGAGUCUGACGCGGCCGGUAAAGGAAAGGAAACCGGCCGGGAUCACACCCAGAGCGCAGAGCUGGAGCGGGGAGGCCGGCCGGGCCGGGAAUGAGAAAAAAACAAGGCAACAAAAAGCCCUCAGAGAUUCCCAACACUCCCAAAACAGAGUCAAAGGGCACUGAUGGAGCGGAAACACCAGGAUACAAGGCUAUUGGCUGGUGCCACCCACGUCCAAGGUGGGCCUUCCCUCUUCAGUAAGUCAGUCAUCCAGACACACCCAGAGCUGUGCUAAACCAACCUGCUAGGUGUUUCUUAUUCAAGUUGAUGCCACAAUUAACUAUCACAAAUGCUGGCAGUCAGACUGCGAAGACAGACUGCAGACCUGAGGAGGAAACUGUUGAUCUAAAACCACAAUUAGUUGCUGGUAAGACAGAGGCUGCAUCCACACCUUUGGAAUGCAGAUUUCAAAAAAUGCAUAGAAGAAAAUGAGGCCUAGGAAAAAAACUACUUGAAAUUUGGGAUCCAACUGCUUUCCCUCCAAAUUGAAUUAAAUAGUCAUCUCUUUGUAUACCAAACACCCUGAACUUAACUUCUUUCUUUGUGUAUGGCAUUGAAAUGUUUAGGCUUUUUUAGAUCUUAAAAU
rnacentral:lncRNA from 1 species